UACGUAGGGUGCGAGCGUUAAUCGGAAUUACUGGGCGUAAAGCGUGCGCAGGCGGUUCGUUGUGUCGGCGGUGAAAUCCCCGGGCUCAACCUGGGAAUGGCCGUUGAAACUGGCGAACUGGAGUGUGGCAGAGGGGGGUGGAAUUCCGCGUGUAGCAGUGAAGUGCGUAGAGAUGCGGAGGAACACCGAUGGCGAAGGCAGCCCCCUGGGCUGACACUGACGCCUCAGGCACGAAAGCGUGGGGAGCAACAGG
rnacentral:rRNA from 1 species